UAGUGUUUAAAAUAUGAUUUUAUGUUUUUAAUGAGAUUAAAGAAAGAGAAACUUGAGUAGUCAAGUAUUGGACCCAAAUGUCAUAUAAUUUUAAUUGGGGAUUUUUAUAAAAUUAAGAAAGUUUGGCUAAAGGGCUUAUUUGAAAAGAAUUUUAGUAUUUUGGGUCCAAGUGUAAUUUUUAAAAAUAAAUAAAUAAAUAAAUAAAAUAAAAUAAAAUAAAAGGCUUCAGCCUUUCAUUUUACCCGAGCCCCUCUCUCUCUCUCCUCAGAAACUCUCUCUCUCUCCUCAGAAACUCUCUCUCUCUCUCUCUCUCUCUCUCUCUCUCCUCUGCGUAUUACUGUUGCCGACGACGCAGGAGUACUUUCCGGCCACCAUUUUUAGCCACGCGCCGGACCGUUGGAUUCAGAGGCCUCCGAACUAUCGACCCACGCGGGAAUCUAGAGCUCACUCGCCGAUUAAACGCCUCAACCACUCGAUUUAAGUUCGGCCACCCCGCGACUUCAAAGUUGCGAUUCGGCCACCUCGGGCAUCCGUUUGCCGAUCCGUCACCACCAUCGUGCUCCUCGUGUUGUGGGCUUCAAAACCCAAUAACUUGUUCCUACAUCUACCAUAGUUGGGUGGUGGGCCCACCACGAGCCACCGCGAUCCACCGUAGACCGACGGUCGAAACUUAGUGUUCGAGGUUCCGAAGUACGUUUUGAGUCUCAUAAAAUCAUCGUUUGACUUAUUGUGGAACCCGAUCAUUUUGGAUUUGUAUGGAUUUGAUUGAUUGACUCUUGGUGAGGAAUUUUAAAAUAAGCUAAGGACCUAAGGUGUGGCUUUAGCUGUUGAGCAACUUGUGGAGCACGGACUCAGUAGCAAUGCAAUAAUGGUUUAGAGUUUUCAUAUGGCUGCCUUAAAUUUAAAAGUAUUCAUACGUGUAAUAAUUUCUUCUAAUAAGUUUAUAUAAAAGUUUUAAAUUUUUCUGUA